AGAGUGAACGCUGGCGGUAGGCCUAACACAUACAAGUCGAACGGCAGCACAGUGGUAGCAAUACCAUGGGUGGCGAGUGGCGGACGGGUGAGGAAUACAUCGGAAUCUACCUUUUCGUGGGGGAUAACGUAGGGAAACUUACGCUAAUACCGCAUACGCCCUUCGGGGGAAAGCCGGGGAUCGCAGGACCUGGCGCGGAUAGAUGAGCCGAUGUCGGAUUAGCUAGUUGGUGAGGUAAUGGCUCACCAAGGCGACGAUCCGUAGCUGGUCUGAGAGGAUGAUCAGCCACACUGGAACUGAGACACGGUCCAGACUCCGUAGGGAGCAGCAGGUGGGGAA
rnacentral:rRNA from 1 species